UACGAAGGACCCAAGCGUUAUCCGGAUUUAUUGGGUUUAAAGGGUCCGUAGGCGGUUUUGUAAGCCAGUGGUGAAAGCCCAUCGCUCAACGGUGGAACGGCCAUUGAUACUGCAAGACUUGAAUUAUUGGGAAGUAACUAGAAUAUGUAGUGUAGCGGUGAAAUGCUUAGAGAUUACAUGGAAUACCAAUUGCGAAGGCAGGUUACUACCAAUAUAUUGACGCUGAUGGACGAAAGCGUGGGGAGCGAACAGG
rnacentral:rRNA from 1 species